CUCCCACCAGGUAUGUUCUAGAACAGUUACAGGUUGCUAGCGCCAUCCACCAGCUGUCCCGAACAUCAGUUAGAAGUCUCCGCGAGGGACGAAAACAUCUGUUCGGGCAGAGGCUGGGAAGGGGAGGCGGGGGGGCGUCGCGCUGCGGGGUCGCACCACACCCCGGCGCGCCACCAGGGCAUAGGGCCCCUGCCGCUCGCAAACGAGUUUCGAGAUCGCAGGCGCCCCGGGCCUAAGGGCGCGGGGAGGCCGCCGGCAGCGCGCGGGGAGGGCGUUCCGCGGUCUCCUGCGCCCUGCCGGACCAGCCCUGACCUUUGUUCUCUACUCACGCCCACUAGGCUCGGGCGGGGGCCUUUCCUCCGCCACUCUCCUCGUCCGCUCGAGGUAGUGCAUGCACAUGGUGAAAAGAAAUUCAAACAGGACAAAACGAUGCGCAUACAAACAGGGCCUUUGGCGAGAGGGUGUCAUGGGCAUCAACACCUCGGAAAAGGCAAGAGGUUCAAAGUUACUCUGCCCUGUCCCAACCCCAGAAGCAGCCCCAGAUGGGCAUCCUCGGAGUGAGUGAGGAGAGGCAAAGCUUCCCGAGCGCCUCUGUAUGUGGCUUCCAUCUUCCGGUUCGAGGAAUUCAACACGCCCCAGGGAGAGAUGUCAGUGUGGGGUUUAUGGCUGAAACCAUUCUCUCCCUCCCAAUCUUUCUCUCUUCCCCCGCUUCCCGCCCUUCCCCUGUCACUUCUCAGUCCUUACUAACCGAACCCGGAGCCGCACACAGAGUACUUUCCGAGAUGCUCUACCUUCCCUGUCGGAAGACUGAGUGAACGAGGCCCAGGAAGGCCUGGGGACUUGCUGGCAAAUUUCUUUCUCUUGUGUAGAAGCCCGAGGAAAAACUUCUGUUGAAAUCAAUCCAUG
rnacentral:lncRNA from 1 species